GACGAACGCUGGCGGCGUGCCUAAUACAUGCAAGUCGAACGCUAAAGGCGGAGCUUGCUUCUCUGGAUGAGUUGCGAACGGGUGAGUAACGCGUAGGCAACCUGCCUGGUAGCGGGGGAUAACUGUUGGAAACGAUAGCUAAUACCGCAUAAGAGUAGAUGUUGCAUGAGAUUUGCUUAAAACGUGCAAUUGGGUCACUACCAGGUGGACCUGGGUUGUUUUUGCUAGUUGGGGGGGUAACGGCUCUCCAAGGCGACGAUCCUUAGCCGACCGGAGAGGGGGGUCGGCCACACUGGGACUGAGACACGGCCAAGACGCCUGCGGGAGGCAGCAGUAGGGAAUGUGCGGCAAUGGACGGAAGGCUGGCCGAGCAACGCCGCGUGAGAGAAGAAGGCUGUCGGAUCGUAAAGCUCGGUUGUAAGAGAAGAACGGGUGUGAGAGGGGAAAGUUCACGCUGUGACGGUAGCUGAACAGAAAGGGACGGCUAACUACGUG
rnacentral:rRNA from 1 species